rnacentral:lncRNA from 1 species
GGACACCAAUGAAAUUCAGAAUACGUUAUGGGUUGUCAAGACUAUCAAAGCAGACAAAGUGCGCGCUCUUGAGAUUGAGAAUCCUUAAAGUUGGUGACAAGGAAAUUUUCGAGAUUUUGUUGGUGUCAUGAAGGAAGGAAGAACGCCAACAUAGAAUAUCAACACCUACUGAUGGGUGUUUGGGCUUUACCGGGUCAAGCUAAUGACAUUAAAGAAGCGCUUGCUGGGAGGCAACCC